UUCAGCUGAAGUCUACCACUGACAGCGCAAAGUCCCACCUCUUCAGCCUGUGUUCCUCGCCACUAAGAACUGGCCCUGCCUUUACAUUACAAGCAGCCAAGCAGCCCAGGAGCCUCCCUGCCCUCAACCAGACUCGAUUGCCCAGAAUUGCCAGAUUGACCUUGCUUGCUGGCCUCUGCUGCUUGGCUGUGGGACCUUGGACAAGUUACUUAACUUCUUUAUGCAUCCAUUUCUGGAACCCCAAAAAGGGACUUCUUGCCAUCUUUGCAGCUGGGCCUGCCACCCCUCCCCCAGACCUUGCUCCUCAGCUGGAAACUCAGCACUGUUUUGCAGUUUUCACCCCGCGCAGUCUUUUUCCACCUGCAGGUUGAUGUGAGCUCUAUCUGCUGUGUUGUUCUGCCAACCCGUGAGAACAGUCCAGGGUGAGUGCUGCUGCCAUCAGAUCUGCAAAUUGACUGUUCCUGAAGCA